rnacentral:rRNA from 1 species
GACGAACGCUGGCGGCGUGCUUAACGCAUGCAAGUCGAACGAUGAAGCUGGAGCUUGCUCCGGUGGAUUAGUGGCGAACGGGUGAGUAACACGUGAGCAAUCUGCCCUUCACUCUGGGAUAACUGCGGGAAACUGUAGCUAAUACCGGAUACGAGACCUUGGGGCAUCCCAGAGUCUGGAAAGAAUUUCGGUGAAGGAUGAGCUCGCGGCCUAUCAGCUAGUUGGUGAGGUAAUGGCUCACCAAGGCGACGACGGGUAGCCGGCCUGAGAGGGUGACCGGCCACACUGGGACUGAGACACGGCCCAGACUCCUACGGGAGGCAGCAGUGGGGAAUAUUGCACAAUGGGCGAAAGCCUGAUGCAGCAACGCCGCGUGAGGGAUGAAGGCCUACGGGUUGUAAACCUCUUUUAGUAGGGAAGAAGCGCAAGUGACGGUACCUACAGAAAAAGCACCGGCUAACUACGUGCCAGCCGCCGCAGUAA